GCCAGCAUAGCAUAAUGGUUUGAGUGUUGGGCUACAAUUCUGGAGACCAGGGUUCAAAUCCCUGCAUGGCCA